rnacentral:rRNA from 1 species
GGUGGUAGUAGCAAAUACUUGAGUGAGAUCCUCAAGGACUGACGUGGAGAAGGGUUCCAUGUGAACAGCACUUGUACAUGGGUGAGUCGAUCCUAAGCCGUAGGCGAAAGCCGCCCCUAGACACGUCGGCCAUCAAUCAUUUGUAUGGGGCCCGUCGGGGUCAGGCGAAAGGGAAUCCGGUACUUAUUCCGGAACUCAGAUGUGGGGGUUGUUGUGGCAUUCUCUGUCACCUAGUCGUAAGACAAGUACCAACCUGGAGAAUCCGACCGGAGGGCCGGGAAGAGUUGUCUUUUCUGGUUAACGGGAUCGAUGGCCUUGUGAAUCGGGUCGCUCGGAGAGAGGGUCUUAUCCCGAAAGAGCGCCGCGUUUCUUGCGGCGUCCGCGCUGCUCCGGUCUGGAACUUGAAAAUCCAGGGGGAGGGUUCCGCACCUUCACACUGAUUCGUACCCAUAUCCGCAUCCGGUCUCCGAGGUGAACAGCCUCUAUCCGAUAGAUUAAUGUAGGUAAGGGAAGUCGGCAAGUCAGAUCCGUAACUUCGGG